rnacentral:rRNA from 1 species
GAUGAACGCUGGCGGCGUGCCUAAUACAUGCAAGUCGAGCGAACGGACGAGAAGCUUGCUUCUCUGAUGUUAGCGGCGGACGGGUGAGUAACACGUGGAUAACCUACCUAUAAGACUGGGAUAACUUCGGGAAACCGGAGCUAAUACCGGAUGAUAUUUUGAACCGCAUGGUUCAAAAGUGAAAGACGGUCUUGCUGUCACUUAUAGAUGGAUCAGCGCUGCAUUAGCUAGUUGGUAAGGUAACGGCUUACCAAGGCAACGAUGCAUAGCCGACCUGAGAGGGUGAUCGGCCACACUGGAACUGAGACACGGUCCAGACUCCUACGGGAGGCAGCAGUAGGGAAUCUUCCGCAAUGGGCGAAAGCCUGACGGAGCAACGCCGCGUGAGUGAUGAAGGUCUUCGGAUCGUAAAACUCUGUUAUUAGGGAAGAACAUAUGUGUAAGUAACUGUGCACAUCUUGACGGAACCUAAUCAGAAAGCCACGGCUAACUACGUG